rnacentral:lncRNA from 1 species
CAGAUCCUCAAUGAACUCCUGCAUGCAAAUAUCCAUCACAGAGUUUUCUCCCAAGUUUUCCUCUGAGAUAGAAGAUAGAGAUUGAAUGGACUUGGUUGAAAAGAUCAUCUUCAAUAUCCAUCUAUUCUUAUCUUGAACCAAAAAGAUGAGGAAGCAGCAGCAGGACUGGUUGCAUAACUGAGGGUAUCCAGCUCAUAAAAGCAGUGUUGGGAGCUGAACUCUAAUGUCUGACUCCAAAGCCUGUGCUCUCAUUCCUUCAGCUCAGAUCUCCAGCUCUGCACCCGCUCCACCCUGACUCCAAUUACCUCAUUAACUCAGGUUGGAGGGAACAGAACAUUAAGAACAAGAUAUGACAUUGAACCUUGAAUCCAUAAGGAAUGAAUCUACGUGGCUGCCUGUUUGAACAGAUAUUUUAAAGCACUGGGGCUACUAAUAAGAAAAAAUAUUGAAUGAGACAUACAACUGAUCUCUUAAAAAUCUGAGCUAAAUCGUGUGACCAAAUUGCUGACAGCAGCUUCUAGUCCAGACAGCACAUCUGCUGACCUAGAGAAAAGGAUGACUGGUUGGAUUGGCAUCUCCUUCUAUAUUAGUAUUGGUAGAAUUCACAUGAGAGCUUGGAUUUUUACCCCUAUCUUGCACUGAUGAGGCAUCUCUCUUAUCUGCUGGUGUCAGAGGAGAUCCAGUGGGAGACAGAAUGUUCAGCAUCUCCCAGAGAUAAUGAAGCCACCCUCAGUUCAGAGACCACAAGGGGAACCAGAACUUCUGCUCAGCGCAGCAGUAACAAGGACCACUUCACCCCAAGUGUCAAUGGGGACUGAUUGGGAAUCCUGCAUUUCUACUUCUAUAUGGCAGUAAGAAGGCAGCACUUACUCUUCUGAUUAAGCAGUGACAGAGAAAGCCAGUUAACCCCAAAAGUUUAAAUAAAAUUUAGACUUUCCUAACAUAAGAUGAAAAUAUGAAAAUGUUCAAGUUUUAAUCAUUUAUCAUAGCAAGAACAGAAAGAUUUCAAACUGAAUGAUAAAAGACAGUAGAUGCCAACACUGAAAUGGUAGAGAAGUUGGAAUUAACUGGCCAAUAACAAAGCAUCCAUAACAAAAAUACUACGAGCAAGCUUAAAAUAAAUGAAAGAAUGGGAAGCCUUAGGAAAGAAAUAGAAACAUUUCAGCAAAGGAAUAAAAGAUAUAAAGUAGAACAAGUGGAAACUUUAGAACCAGAAAAUAUAAUAACCAAAAUAAAAAACUUGGUGAAUGGGAUUAUAGCAUGAAAGAGGAGGCAGAGGAAAGGAUCAAUAAACAGGAAGAUGGUACAAGCUGAACGGCACAGAGAAAAUUGAAGGGGAAAAAAUGAAUAAUACCUAAGGUAUCUUGGGACUAUAACAAAAAAAUCUAAUAUCUUUGUGAUCAGAAUUCCAGAAGGGAGAAGAUAGAGAGGGAGGAUUGAAAGAGAAAAUGACUGAAAAGACUCAAAUUUGGCAAGACAUAUAAACCUAUAGAUUCAAGAAACUGAGUUAAAUGAGCCAGACAGAGAAAAACAAAUAAUGCUAUACUGUCGCUUAUGGGUGGAAUCUAAAAAAGUCAGACUCAUAGAAACAAAAAAGUAGAACGGUGGUUGCCAGGGGCUGGGGAUAGAAGAAAUUGGGAGAUGUUGGUCAAAGAGCACAAAAUUUCAGUUAUGAUAUCAGUAAGUUCUAGGACUCUGCCAGCAUGGUGAGUAUAGUUAGUGAUUCUACACUUGAAUGUUGCUAAGAGAAUAGGACAAGCUUUUUCAUCUCCCACAAAGAAGUGGUAACUAUGUGAGGGGAUAAAUGUAUUUAUUAACUAUUUCCUAAUUAUUUCAUAAUGUAUACAUAUAUUAAAUCAUCAUAUUUUAUAUAUAUAUAUAUAUCUCAAAAUAAUUAAAUUUAAGGAAACUGAGUGAAUUCCAAACAGUAUAAACCCAAAGAUGUCCAUGCCAAGACACAUCAUAAUUAAACUUGGAACAACUAAAAACAGAGAAAAACCAUCUUGAGACCAGCCAGAGAAAGAUAACAUCUUAUUUAUAGGAAAAAACAAAACAAAACACACAACUUGAGUGACAGUGGAGUUUUCAUCAGACACUAGAGGCCUGAAGGAAGUGGCACAAUAUGUUUUUCAAGUGGUAAAAUAAAAGAACUAUCAACCUAGUUCUUGUACACAGUAAAAAUAUCCUUCAGGAAUAAAGGGAGAAAUCAAGACACUUUCAGAUGAAGAAAUCCUAAGAGAACUUGUUGCUGGGAGUACUGCUAUAAAGGAAUGGCUAAAGGAUGUUCUUUAAACAGAAAGGAAAUGAAAGCAUUAUGAACUUGGGAACAUCAAGAAAGAAGAAAAUAUAAUACAAAAGAAAUGUGAGGAAACACAAUCGUCUUUCCUUCUCCUCUUGAGUUUCUGUAUUCUGCUUGAAAGGUGAAGCAAAGAGUAUUACACAGUCUGAUGUUGUUCUAAAUGUUUGUGGAGGAAAUAUCUAAUAAAAUCAUAAUAUAAUAUAAAUGAAAGGGAUGUAAAUAGAGGCAAUGUUUCUAUAUUUCAUGUUAUUAAAAUGAAGACAUCAGGAGACCAGUUUUAUAUAUAUAUAUGUGUGUGUGUGUCUGUAUAUAUAUAUAUAAUGUAAUAUCUAGAACAGAGAAAAACAGAGGGAAUAUAAAACAACAAAAAAAAUCAGACUUCAGUGCCAAACAUAACAAUAAAUAUAUUGUAUGAAAAUUUUCUAAAUAAACCAAUUAUAAGACAGAAACUAAAAGAAUGAAUUGAAAAACAUGACACAACUAUGUGCUUUGUAUAAGAAACUCAUUUCAACUAUAAAAAUUUUGUAAGCGGAAAAUAAAAGAAUGUGUAAAGAUGUAUUAUGCACAUCUUAAAGGAAGAUAGGAACAGUUAUGUUAAUAUCAGGUACAGUAGAUUUCAGAGUGGAGAAAAUUUUCAGAGACAACAUGGGACAUUGUAUAAUGAUAAAUAAGUCACCAAAAAGACAUAGCAAUCUUAUGUAUGUAAUAACCAAUGGAGCCAAAAUAUGAAUAUGACAAAAACUGACAGAGCUAAAGGAGAAAUAGAUAAAUCAACAACUAUAGUUGGAAACAUCAAAACCUCUAUCCCAAGGAAUGGUAUAAUAAUUGGCAUACAAUCAUCAAGGAUAUAGAAGAGUUUAACAACAUAAACUAACAGGACUCCAUGAACAUUUGGAGAACACGCCACCCAGUAACAACCCAAUACACACAAUUUUCAAGUGCACAUGGAUGGUACACCAAGAUAGACAGUAUCCUAUAAUAUAAAACAAAUCUCAAUAAAUUUCAAACAAUUACAAUUGCAGAUCAUGGUUAAAGUGAUAUCAAAAGAGUAACAAUGAAUAUGCUAUAAAAAAAACCUACGCAAAUAAACUACACAAACAAAUAUGACAACUUAUAGAAAAUGGUCCAAUUCCUCAAAAAACGAAAAGUACUAGAACUCAAUCAAUAGGUAAUUUGAAUUGCCUUAUAAUUAUUAAGGAAACUUAGUUUAUAAUUAUAAUGCUUCCACAAAAGAAAUCUCCAGACCUAGAUGGUUUCCUUAGAGAAAUCUAUUAAGAACUUAAUGGAGAAUGAAGAGCAAUUCCAAAGAGUUUCUCCCAGAAAAUAGAAUAAACACUUUCCAAUUAAUUUUAUGAAAGUAGUAUUAUCCUGAUACCAAAACCAGACAUAGAAUUACAAAAGAAGAAAGUCAUAGACAAGUAUACUCAUGACCAUAGAUGCAAAAUUAAUGAAAUAUUAGCAAAUGAAAUUUAGCCAUAUAUUAAAAGAGUUAUACAACAUGACCAGGUAGAAUUUAUUCCAUUGAUAAAAAGCUGAUUCAAUAUUCAAAAAUAAGUUGAGGAGUUCUCAUUGUGGCUCAUGGUUACCAGUCUCAAACCCAACUAGUAUCCAUGAGGAUCCUUGGCCUUGCUCAGUGGGUUAAGUAUCCACUGUCACAGUGAGCUGUGGUGUAGGUCACAGAGGUAACUCAGGUCCUGCAUUGCUGUGGCUGUGGUGCAGGCCAGCAGCUGCAGCUCCAAUUUGACCCCUUGUCUGGGAACUUCCAUCUGCCUCUGGUGCAGUUCUAAAAAGCAAAAAAAAAAAAAAAAAAAAAAAAAAAAAA